AGGCGAUUAGUCCAACGAAAGAUUGCUGAUUUCGGCUCAGUAGAACAUGGUUCGAUUCCAUGAUCGUCUU
rnacentral:tRNA from 1 species